CAGUAGCCGCGGUAAUACAGAGGGUGCAAGCGUUAAUCGGAAUUACUGGGCGUAAAGCGCGCGUAGGUGGUUUGUUAAGUUGGAUGUGAAAUCCCCGGGCUCAACCUGGGAACUGCAUCCAAAACUGGCAAGCUAGAGUAUGGUAGAGGGUGGUGGAAUUUCCUGUGUAGCGGUGAAAUGCGUAGAUAUAGGAAGGAACACCAGUGGCGAAGGCGACCACCUGGACUGAUACUGACACUGAGGUGCGAAAGCGUGGUGAGCAAACAGGAUUAGAUACCCCGGUAGUCCCUGUCUCUUAUAC
rnacentral:rRNA from 1 species